rnacentral:rRNA from 1 species
UACGUAGGGUGCAAGCGUUAAUCGGAAUUACUGGGCGUAAAGCGUGCGCAGGCGGUUUUGUAAGUCUGUCGUGAAAUCCCCGGGCUCAACCUGGGAAUGGCGAUGGAGACUGCAGGGCUAGAGUUUGGCAGAGGGGGGUAGAAUUCCACGUGUAGCAGUGAAAUGCGUAGAGAUGUGGAGGAACACCGAUGGCGAAGGCAGCCCCCUGGGUCAAAACUGACGCUCAUGCACGAAAGCGUGGGGAGCAAACGGG